GACAAGAUUAUCAACAGCGCAUGAUGCUACCUGUUUCUUAAGCUUCUACAAAUUGGAGAAAUGUUUGAAUAAACUAAAACAGCUGGUUAUCGGGAUCAUUCU
rnacentral:rRNA from 1 species